AAACUGCGAUAAGUAGUGUGAAUCGCAUUUAGUGAAUCAUCGAAUCUUUGAACGCACCUUGCACUCACUGGUAUUCCGGUGAGUACGCCUGUUUCAGUAUCAUUGAAAACACACAAUCAAAACAUUUUCUUUGGUUUGAUUGGCUUUGGGUCUAUCAAAAAGUUUGGCUUGUUUCUUACAAGCCAAGCGGCCUGAAAUAUAUUGUCUGGCUAAUUGCAUCGUUGAUGAUCGCUAUUAGACUUUGGCUUUUUUAAAUGAACUGGAGGUUGAUUAACCAGUUUUAGAUUUAGUCAAAUGGUCAUUGUAAAAAAAAUCUCGAUCUUGGCUAGGUGUUUAUAGCCGAAAAUUUUUUUUUGGCUAUAACCGAAACCAAUAUAAUCACAUUUAGUUAUCGAUCUGAAAUCAGGUGGGACUACCCGCUGAACUUAAGC
rnacentral:misc_RNA from 1 species